UACGUAGGGAGCGAGCGUUAUCCGGAAUUAUUGGGCGUAAAGGGUGCGUAGGCGGUUUGCUAAGUCUAAAAUUAAAGCCCGGAGCUUAACUCCGGUUCGUUUUAGAAACUGGCAGACUUGAGUAUAGUAGAGGCAAGUGGAAUUUCUAGUGUAGCGGUUAAAUGCGUAGAUAUUAGAAGGAACACCAGUGGCGAAGGCGACUUGCUGGGCUAUUACUGACGCUGAGGCACGAAAGCGUGGGGAGCAAAUAGG
rnacentral:rRNA from 1 species